rnacentral:ncRNA from 1 species
ACUCGUACGGGGCAAAGCGGCAGAGAUGCCGUGACGCAAAGCCUCCGGUCCACGCGCGGCGCCUGCCGGCGCCGCGAUGGAUAGCGGGGCCGCCCUU